rfam:Desulfovibrio sp. TomC contig00374, whole genome shotgun sequence.
GUCGACGUACUUCAUAGGAUCAUUUCUAUAGGUCACGUCUCUCUUUGACUCUUCAAAAGAGCCACUGAAUCCAACUUGGUUGAUGAGGUAGAUACCUUUGUGUCCUAGAGUGAGAAAAGCUAGCUUGACCACGAUCCUUAGUGGUCUGGUCAUCUACUAUAUGCCUUGUUUAUCAAGGAGCGAUGAUCUCGAUCCAUCACACGUACUUCUUCGGAAGGGGUGUUUUGGAUGGACGCAAAUGGCUGUCUGACAAGU